UUGAAGGCAACCACCUCUCCUCUGCAGCAAUCCUCAGCCAAGACGGCAGUGUUUGGGUUUAGCUCUAAUUUCCCUCAGGUGUGGGAAAAUUGAGCUUGCGUGGAGGGUGUUUGAUGAAAGUUCUGAGAGAAACCAUGUAGGUUCAGUUCAUUUUGACUCUACUGCUCAAAGAACCUGCUCAUGCAUUCUAGCAAUUGUGAUGCCUUUCUUUUUCCUCUAUCUCUGCCAUUUUGAGCCAAAUCCAACAAAGGAUCCAUCAUACCGAGCUCUCGGGCCUGAGCCAGAUAUUGUUGAUCUCAAGAAGAAAGAUGAAUCAAGACAGCAGCCGCAUUUUCUUUGUUCCUGGGUGGACCUCCAAAGAAGUUCCAAGUGAAUGGUUCUGAUGUGGAUUUUGAGUGGCUUCCUAAUGGCAAAUUGAUGGUUAACCUUUCUUGGAUUCAAGAGGAUCAUGGUGUUUCUGAUUUAGCAAUUUUCUUCUAGUUUUUA